rnacentral:rRNA from 1 species
UACGAACUGUGCGAACGUUAUUCGGAAUCACUGGGCUUAAAGGGUGCGUAGGCGGUUAUCUAAGUAGGAUGUGAAAUGCCCCGGCUCAACCGGGGAACUGCGUUCUAAACUGGAUGGCUUGAGUGAGAUAGAGGUGUGCGGAACUUCCGGUGGAGCGGUGAAAUGUGUUGAUAUCGGAGGGAACACCGUUGGCGAAAGCGGCACACUGGGUCUUAACUGACGCUGAGGCACGAAAGCCAGGGGAGCGAAC